rnacentral:rRNA from 1 species
UGAGCAAUCUGCCCUUCUCAUCGGAAUAAGCGUUGGAAACGAUGUCUAAUGCCGAAUACGACCUCCUUUCGCAUGAUCGGAGGUGGAAAGCUCCGGCGGAGAAGGAUGAGCUCGCGGCCUAUCAGCUAGUUGGUGUGGGUAAUGGCCCACAAGGCGACGACGGGUAGCCGGCCUGAGAGGGUGACCGGCCACACUGGGACUGAGACACGGCCCAGACUCCGUAGG